CCAGACUCCUACGGGAGGCAGCAGUGGGGGAUAUUGCACAAUGGGGGAAACCCUGAUGCAGCGACGCCGCGUGGGCGAAGAAGUAUUUCGGUAUGUAAAGCCCUAUCGGCAGGGAAGAAGAAAUGACGGUACCUGAAUAAGAAGCACCGGCUAAAUACGUGCCAGCAGCCGCGGUAAUACGUAUGGUGCAAGCGUUAUCCGGAUUUACUGUGCGUAAAGGGAGCGCAGGCGGCGCGCCAAGUCUGAUGUGAAACCCCGGGGCUCAACCCCGGGCAUGCAUUGGAAACUGGCGGGCUGGAGUGCCGGAGAGGUAAGCGGAAUUCCUAGUGUAGCGGUGAAAUGCGUAGAUAUUAGGAGGAACACCAGUGGCGAAGGCGGCUUACUGGACGGCAACUGACGCUGAGGCUCGAAAGCGUGGGGAGCAAACAGGAUUAGAUACCCCAGUAAC
rnacentral:rRNA from 1 species